rnacentral:lncRNA from 1 species
CUUUCAGAGGACUAUCUGCUUCUCCAAUAUUCAGGGGUCCAUGUUGCUUUUAUAAUUAUACACACACGAUUAUAUAGUUUCAAAAAAGAGAAAGAUGAGAGAGAAGGCACAUGUACACACAUGAGAGAGAAAGAAAAAGGGAGAGAGAGGGGGAUGGAGAAGGAGAUGAAAGGACACCCGCCCAACCCACACUCACAUCAUAAAGGCUGUAUUAUGGUGGGUUUUAAAAAUAAUUCUGCGAUAUGCUUUCAAUUCCUGAAAAUCCUAUUGUAAUGAAGCUUUUUCCAUGGUUUUCAUCCUUUCAACAGGAAGAAUAAUACUAGCUGAAAUAAAGGGGUCAUUGAGUCUGAAAGCUGGCUUUUCUUGAAUCUUUACUGAGUCUUAAAAGCCUGGGUAUGUUGGAGGAGAAAAAAUAUUCCUCAUUUUUAGAAGCCCAUUUUACACUCAAGAGCAAAGCACGCAGCCCGUGUCAGAGAACAGGGAAGCUAAAGUGGAAGGACUACAUCACUACUGACAGGAAGCUGCCCUGGGUGCUGGCAGGAAGAGAGCCAAUGCAUGGAGAGAAAAACAGGAGCAGGAUUCCAGAAGUCUGCUGUCUUGUUUUCCCCGAUCCUCCAUUAGGAAGAAGACAUUCUCAAAUUGGAUAAUUUGUCUGCCUCUAGGCCAGACUUUGUGACUGUGGACAAAUGGGGGAAAAAAAAGUUGCUUUGAAGAAAUAAUGGGAUGAGACAUGUGCGGUUUUUUCCCAAAAUAUUUUUCUUGAUGAGGAACUGGGAAAGAAGGUGAAGAAAAAGAGGUUCUAGAAAUAAUUGGAAAAAUCUUUCUCCUCCUGGGCAUGUGUGAGUACUGGGGGUGAGCAGAAGGACCAGGUGCCAACAAUGAACAACUGUAAAUUCCAAACCAAUGUAAUCUAGGGUUGCUUAAGGGCAGAAACCUUAUCCCCAAAGGAAGGAAUAUUAUCCACCCCCUUUCCUUCUAACGACUCGAGGUCUCUGGGAAUAUUCUCAGUAUGGGACACCAGGUUAGUGCAACAACAAGUGGAAUGAGGGAAGAGCAUCUUGUAGGCAUGCUGCUUCUCUGGGCUGGGGGUAUAACUACCAUAACUUCGUAAGCUCCAACUGCGUGUGCUCUGUCUCCUUGGCCCCAAAUGAAGGGGUUUUUUGUUAUUGACUUUGGGUUUUUCCUAAAGAAAAACUGUAGGAACCACUUCCUAUUGGUUUUCUGUUAUUGACUUCAGGCUUUUCCUAAAGAAAAACUGUAGGAACCACUUCUUAGAUGAAGUUCUAUUUCAGUUUCCUUAUAUGUAAAAUGCGAGAAUUUAUGUUACCUAACUGAUAAGAAAAUGAUAUAAUACAUAGUGAAACACAAAUCACAGUCCCUGCUCAGUAAAUAAAUGUAAACUAGUAACCCUAUUACUAUUAUUA